rnacentral:rRNA from 1 species
AUGGCUCAGAUUGAACGCUGGCGGCGUGCUUAACACAUGCAAGUCGCGCGUGAAAGGACUUCGGUCCGAGUAAAGCGGCGCACGGGUGAGUAACGCGUGGAUGAUCUACCCAUGGGUUAGGAAUAACGGCUGGAAACGGUCGCUAAUACCAAAUACGCUCCGAUUUCAACUUCGGGGGAAAGGUGGCCUCUGCUUGCAAGCUACUGCUCAUGGAUGAGUCCGCGUCCCAUUAGCUAGUUGGUGGGGUAACGGCCCACCAAGGCGACGAUGGGUAGCCGGUCUGAGAGGAUGACCGGCCACACUGGGACUGGAACACGGCCCAGACUCCUACGGGAGGCAGCAGUGGGGAAUAUUGCGCAAUGGGCGAAAGCCUGACGCAGCGACGCCGCGUGAGGGAUGAAGGUCCUCGGAUCGUAAACCUCUGUCAGGAGGGAAGAACCGCCACGGUGCUAAUCAGCCGUGGUCUGACGGUACCUCCAAAGGAAGCACCGGCUAACUCCGUGCCAGCCGCUGC